GACGAACGCUGGCGGCGUGCUUAACACAUGCAAGUCGAGCGGUAAGGCCCUUUCGGGGGUACGACGAGCGGCGAACGGGUGAGUAACACGUGGGUGACCUGCCCUCAGCUCUGGGAUAAGCCUGGGAAACCGGGUCUAAUACCGGAUAUGACUCCAUGACGCAUGUUGUGGGGUGGAAAGCCUUGUGCGGCUGAGGAUGGGCCCGCGGCCUAUCAGCUUGUUGGUGGGGUGAUGGCCUACCAAGGCGACGACGGGUAGCCGGCCUGAGAGGGCGACCGGCCACACUGGGACUGAGACACGGCCCAGACUCCUACGGGAGGCAGCAGUGGGGAAUCUUGCGCAAUGGGCGAAAGCCUGACGCAGCGACGCCGCGUGAGGGAUGACGGC
rnacentral:rRNA from 1 species